AUUUGUGGUUCCCAUUUCAUACCUGAAUGAUCCUGCCUUCCAAGACUUGUUAAAUCAAGCUGAGGAAGAAUUUGGGUUCAGCCAACCAGAAGGCGGCCUCACUAUUCCCUGCUCAGUGGACACAUUCAUUCACCUUACUUUACGCCUAGAUAUAUUGACAAAAAAAAAAAAUUGAUCAAUAUAUUGAACACAAAAAUUUGAUACUCAAAUCUGUAAGUUUUGCAUGUAAUGUAAAGCAAAUUAUAUGUAGGCAGGGACUUCGAAAUUGAUCAAAGAUUUAAACUGUGAAUGUUAUGUCUGGUCAGAGUUGGAAAGUUAAACUUCUCUACCCAGAACCAAUAAAUGACUUUAGGUACUAAAAUGAAAAGAAAACUAAAGGAAUGAAACAUCAAGCUUAUCAGUAGCUUACAUGAAGACUCCAUAAAAAGCUGCACAACUGAAAUUAGAGGGUUGAGUCUGUCAAUUAUUAGAGUGAUAUUGAAUAAACAUGUUCUUCACAUCCAUCCAAUGAGUUCGCGGCAAUUCCAGGAUAGCAAUAUGUAUGAAUAAAUUGAUACUAGUCAACUAAGCAAAAGAAAUUCUUCACUGAUAUCUAAUAAACAUAUUUCUGUGUAAUGAGAUGGUUACAAUAAUCUUUUCUAGGUUAUCAAAUGGAAGCGGAUUGACUAGUACACAGUACCAACUACAACCUUACAAAAUUGGUAGUACCAGAUAAUAGCUAUAUGUUAGUACAAUCUGCGCAAGACUAAACUGAGGUUAACCAAUGUCUUCUCUACAAGGAAAACCCACUCCAGACUAUAGAGAGAUGGAAAUUGCUCUUCUUUUGAACAAUUACGUUUGUGAUUGGAAGCAAUAAUGUAUAAAGCUGCUUAUCUAUAUUUCAAAUAAAACAUAAUGACUACAUAAUGAUUGCAGAGAUCAAAUCCAUUUAGAAAUUAAUGUCUCAAAUUACAAAGUAUCAGGUAAUGUUCUACCUACAAGAUUUAUUAGAAAUUCCUGGACUAGUUUACAAAAUUUUUACACUAUCUAACAACAUAUAUAUAAACUUUCAUAAUCUGUUCAAGAGAUCAAUGAAGGUGUCUUCUUUGCAUGGAAUUGUGAGGCCACCUUUUGGAUGACUAAACCCAAAUUCUUCCUCAGCCUGACUUAACAGGUCUUGGAACGUAGGCUCGUUUAAGUAAGAGAUCGGAACUACAAAUCUUCUUCUUUGGUUCUCCCCAACAUAGACUGCAACACAUCCCUUCGGGACAUUUGUUCUGUAAUCAAGAUUUUUUAAGGAAAAUUGUCUGUUGAGAAUUUGCUUGAGAUUAGUGAUAUGAGGCACACGAAUACCCAUGAUGCUCAAGAAAAAUUGAAACUUCAACGGAUAAUCUUUGGAGAUAUGGAAAAUACAAGAACUUCUGCCGAUGGAAGGCUUAGACCUUAAUUCCACUUGGUUUUGUGAUGAAUUUGGUUGAGGAUAUCACAGUUUUUAUAUAGAAAUAACAAGUAAUGAGCGGUUGAUCAAAAUGCAGAUUGAGUGGCACAGAUGGAUUAGGCAAUAGCACAUGCUAUUCUCUUUCAAAGGCCACACAUAUUUAAGAGUAAUGCUAGGACUUGAAUGUCUGCUGAGAGACAUCAUGUCCUACUGCUUCUGUUCAACAAAUCUGGACCUGAUAUUUUCUCAUGUUCUACUGAUAGUGGAGAUAAGACAGAAUAUAACGUAAUAUAUACGGAUAUGAACAAGGUACAAAUAAUUGGGUGGAAAGUCCUCACUUUGCCUGGCAAGCAAGGUAGCAAAUUUUAAGAAGUUAGUUUUUGUGGUCAGUAGUUGUGGGUGGGACGGACAAGUUAAGUGCUCAUGUGAUAGUGUUUUCAUUCACCUAUCCUAGCUGUUUAUUUUUUGUGCAGUAGGAAACACCUGAUACAAGUUGUUAUAUUCACGAAAGAAAGGGCAAAUCUUUGUAAGAAACAGAUUAUUAGGAUUUUGUGUGGUAGGAAACACCUCAUAUAAGUUCUCAUAUGUUUACAUUCACAACAGAAAGAAUAAUUUCAAGAAUAAACACUCAAAUUUUUUUAAGUACUGCAAUUCAUUUCUCAUACAAUGCUCAAGCAAGAAGUGAGUUUAAAGAAUAUGUCUACUUAACAUGGAAUAGUAAGACCACCUUCUACAUGAUCAAAUCUGAAAUCUUUUUGAGCUUGAAUAAUUAAUUCUUAAAGGGAGGUUCACUUAAAUAUGCAAUCGGAUCUACUUCUCUGGCCUCCCCAACAUAAACAGCCAUAAGCCUUUUGGAACAACAAGCACUGUUGAACUAGCAAGAUAUCUCAACACAGAAGACUGAUGGAUAACAAAAUAAAAGCCAUACGGUUUUCAUGGUGUAAUAACAAAAUUGACAAGAACGAUUAUAUAAUGAAAGUAGAUGUAGAGGAAAAUUUAGAUUGUGCGGCUAAUUAGUUUACGCUGACUUGUUUGCAGUUCCCUUUUUCUGCGAUUAGAUAUAAAAAGGAGAAAUAAAUUUUUAUCUAAAAUGUGAAAGAUCCACACGCCUUUCUCUUUGGCUCACCACAUAGAUUAACAACUCAGAGGCCAUAUCUAUUUCUGCUAGGAAACAUCUCAUGUUCCCAAUUGAUUGCUGAUGUGCACUACCUGAAAAUCAAUACUUCUGCAUCAGAUAAAGAUUUCAAGAGAGGGUAGCACAUGGGUCUGUAUCCUACUGCUUCUUGUACCACAAAAUCCUAGUACAUGCUUCAGACAAGGAUUAGAAGGUUGAUUUUAUGUUUGAUUAUCUUAAAAAUUCAAAUAACUGGACACCUAAAUAUUCAAGGGAGAGCUAUCAGACAACUAAGAAAUUUGAUUAUCCUUGGUAUUUGUAGGGCAAGUUGUGUCUUGGUAAGCAGACACAUAUCCCACACUCCUCCAACUUUGCUAUUCAUUAUGUAUUUGUAGGACAUCAUCAUGUGCUAGUGACUUAUUAUUUCAUUUUCAGUGUUCAAGAAACCUUCUAUAUAAACAUAGGGACUUUGACAUAAAUCAACACAAGCAAACUAGCAAACCUUCAUUUCUUUCAUCAAGCAUCGUCUCAUCCUUUCCCUCUCGACAUCCAUUUUAAGAAUACCAACUUAGAAACAUGGGUAUCCGCAUGCCUCGUAUUCCUCAUGUCAAGAAAAUUUUGCAGGGGUCUUCUUUUGCAACUACAGCAGUUUCAGACGUCCCAAAGGGCUGCUUGGCAGUUUAUGUUGGGGAGAGCCAAAGAAAAAGAUUUGUUGUUCCAAUUUCGUACUUGGCUGAGCCUGCCUUCCAGGACUUGCUAUGUCAAGCUGAGGAAGAAUUUGGUUUUGAUCAUCCAGAGGGGGGUCUUACAAUUCCCUGCAGAGAAGAUGUGUUUACAGAUCUCGCCUCAAGCUUGAGAAGAAAAUCAUAGAGAAGAACCUGAUCAAAAUAAGUAGUUUAGAAAUUUUUUGUAAGCUAGUAGGAGAUAAGUUAGAAAAGGUAGGACCAUAGGCAUUUAGGCAAAAACUUUCUUCCAGUGUCUCAAGGAAUCAUUUUCAAUGAGGAAGAUCAUUACUCAAAAUUUUGUAAAUUAUUAAACUAUAUACAUCCCAAUUAUAUUUUUAUGAUCUAAUUAUGUUGUUUGCAAAUAAAUUCCCAUCUGUUAUCAGUUCCACAUUAUUCUGAAAUUAAUCGAAAUUGGCAUAUAUUAUUCUGAGAUAAAUUUCUUGAAAAUUGAUAUGGGAGUGGGAGAAAGCAGUCCCUUAUCUUAUAUUCCUAUAUUACAGAAAGAAUUAGUCAGAACCUAUCUACAGUUACUCUGUGAUCAUAUUUACUGUUAGACCGAAAUUGAUCAAGCAUCGACCUGCGGAAGAUACUUAUCAGUAACUUUGAUAGUCAAAUCAGUAACUUUUGCAUGUAAUGUAAAUCUCCUUGUCAAAGAUUAAAACUGUGAACGUCAAGUCUGGUCAGAGUUGGAAAGUUAAACUUAUCUACCCAGAACCUAUAGAUGAUGUUAUUGAUAAAAACAGCAAACUUCAGAUGCAAUGAUUGAUGAAAAAAAAAUGGAAUGCAACGUCAAGAUUAUCAGUGGCUUACAUGAAGACUACAAAAAAACCUGCACAACUGAAAUUGGAGGGUUUAGGAUGUCAACUGUUAGAGUGAAAUUAAAUAAAGAUGUUCUUCACAUCCAUCCAAAGAGACCUUGGUAAUUCCAGGAUAUCAAUAUGAAUGAAUAAAUGGAUUCUUCACUGAUGAUUUCUAAAAAACAUAUUUCUGCGAAACUAGAAAUUAAGGCCUGCAGUCUAGCACAAAAGCCUGAGGCAAAGUUUAAACGUGAAAUACAUUAAAAGCCCCUACAAGGCACGUGCUUUUAAUUUAAAUCAUAUCUCUAAUUAAUUGCUCACUAUAUAUGUAGAAUUUGAAUUUAAUGUAUUUAGUUUUGUUUUUAAAUCUUAAAAUAAAACUUUUUGAACCUCCGCAUAGAAAAAAAGACCCGAAUAACACAAUUUUGGAGUUUAAUACCCUGAAUAACAAAUUUUAUAAAAAUGGCCUCAUCUGACAAGUAAAGCCGCUUGGCUAUUAGCGUUUAAUGUAAAGGGGCAACGCUAAUGCUUUUAGCGUUUUUGAAGUACGCCCCAGGGUCUAGUCUUUCUUUUUACUGGCACAAACACACACAACACACUGGUGCUCUCCUUGAAAUAAAUUAAUAUAUAUAUAUAUAUAUAUAUAUAUAUAUAUAUUUUGACCUUUUAACAUGUUUUUUCGAAAAAUAUAAAAAAUAUUGGUUCAAUUUAAUAAAGUAAAUCAACAAUCGUUAACAUUUAGGUUUUAAGUUUGGGUUGUAAAAUGAUUAAUUCAUACUUUAAAUUAAAUUGGCCGACGGUUAGGGUUUAGGAUUGAGGGUUUAGGGCCGUUAGGCCCUAAUCCCUCGAGCCUAAACCCUAAUUAAUGCGAGGCUUUAGGGCCGAGGCCCUAAAGCCGAGAAACCGGCUGAAUAAAUUAAUUUACAAUCGUUAACAUUUAGGGUUUAGGUUUGGGUAGCAGAAUGAUUAAUUCGUACUGUAUAUUAAAUUGGCCGACGGUUAGGGUUUAGGAUUGAGGGUUUAGGGCCGUUAGGCCCUAAUCCCUCGAGCCUAAACCCUAAUUAAUGCGAGGCUUUAGGGCCGAGGCCCUAAAGCCGAGAAACCGGCUGAAUAAAUUAAUUUACAAUCGUUAACAUUUAGGGUUUAGGUUUGGGUUGCAGAAUGAUUAAUUCGUACUAUAUAUUAAAUUGGCCGACGGUUAGGGUUUAGGAUUGAGGGUGUAGGGCCGGUAGGCCCUACUCCCUCGAGCCUAAACAUUAAUUAAUGCGAGGUUGCAGGGCCGAAGGCUCUAAAGCCGAGAAUCCGGCGGAAUAAAUUAAAUUAACAGUCGUUAAUUAACAUUUACGGUUUAUAUUUGGGUUUUAAAAGAAUUAAUUUUUGCAUGGCAUUAAAUUAUUAAAAUAAAUUAAUUGUUGUUAACAUUUUAGGGUGGAUGAUUAAUACUUGAAAAUUAAAAACAAAACAAAAUAAUAAAUAAAUAAAAAAAUAAUUAUAAGAUUAUUGUUAUAAUAUAAAAAAGAUUAUAAGAUUAUUGUUAAAUGAAAUUUAAAAAAGGUGUAGUUAUAAUUGUAAGAAUAGCUGGUUAGCAACUAGCGUUUUGACAACUCUUAAUAUGCCGUAAAGCGCUAUUCUCAAAAGCGUUUUAGUGAAUUUCGAAAACUAGUAAACGCCAAACAGUGUGUCGUUUGUCUUGGUUUGAAUGAAAAAAAAAAUAUACCAAUGCUACACUAAUUAAGUAGCAUUUUAGUGAGCACUAUUGGAUAGCCCAAGUAGUUGAGGGCUUAUCCUCUAUUGGCCCAGGUACUGGGUUUGACUCUGGCUCACCUCGAGAAUAUCUGAGAACAGAUACUCACAUUGUAAGGCUAUAAACCAUAUUAGUCAAAAAAAAAAAGUAGCAUUUUAGUUGAUUAAAAAACCAAAACGCUACAUACUAAACCAACAAUUUGGGGCCGAAACCCGUAUGCAUAUUCUAAUUAUUUAAUACUCAAUUUAUUGUUAGCAAUUCAAUAUUACCAAGAUAUAUUAAUUAAGAUUAUCCUCAAUAACAUCUGUUUAUUAAAACUCCUAAAGCAUUUGUAAUAUACUAAACCAACAAAACAGACGUCUGGCAAAUGUUGAUAGUAUAUUCAUCAGCGUGCUCAAAACAUGUAAAAGUUUACAUGAAAGUCUCAGUCAGAAUACAACUUCUAGACUAGUUUAGAAAUUUUGUACACUAACAACAUAUAACUUUUUACAUAUCUGCAGACAUGUAGAAACUUUCAUAAUCUGUUCAAGAAAUAAAUGAAAGUGUCUUCUUUUUGCAUGGAACUGUGAGGCCGCCUUCUGGAUGACUAAACCCAAAUUCUUCCUCAGCUUGACUUAACAGGUCUUGAAAUGUAGGCUCAUUUAAGUACGAGAUGGGAACCACAAAUCUUCUUCUUUGGUUCUCACCAACAUAAACUGCCAUGCAUCCCUUAGGGACAUUUGUACUAAAAUCAAGAUUUGUAGAGGAAAAUUGCCAUUUGAGAAUUUGCUUGAGAUUAGUGACACGAGGCAUGCGGAUACCCAUGAUGCUAAUCAAAAAUUAAAGUUUUCAGGUAAACUUUGGGGAUAUGAAACUACAAGGACUUCUGCAGAUUGAAGCUUCGACACCAGAAUACACUCAAUUCUGAAAUGACUUUGCUUGAGUUUCCAGCAGGGUUUAUAUAGAAUAUUGAGCUGUUAAUCAAAUUGCAGAUUGAGUGACACAGAUGCAUUAGACAUUAGCACAUGCUAUUUUCUUUGAAUAUCCUAAGGGUAGGACUUGUAUGUCUGUGAGUGACAUCUUGUCCUAUUACUUGUGUUGAACAAUUCCCUAACCUGGUUUUUGCUUUAAAAUUAUAGUUGAGAUAAGAGAGUUUAUAGUGGAGACUGUCAAGUUCGUCAGGCGAGGGAUUAAAUCUCAAGCUUUUAUUGGACAGGCAAGUUUGGUGCUCAUGUGAUGGUGUUUUCUUGACCUAUCCCAGCUGCUUCUUCCAAACAGAUUAUCAGAUAUCUUUGACAUGGUCUAGCUGCAUUAUGUGAAAAUAUCAACUUGGAGCUGGAAGAAACACUGUCACAUGAACACUUAUUAUUCCAACCCCACCAUAAUCAGUGAAGACAAACCCGAAACAUAAAAUCCAUAUCAUGCCACCCAGAUAAACCUUUGGAGGAGUCUUUAGCCAUAGACUAGUGAUUUUGUGUGCUCCAUGUUAAAUCUGCGGUGCAUUUAUGCCCUUUCUUUUAAUUUGUAUAUUACUUAUACACAUAUAACUGUAGGACAUCAAAUUUUCUUCAACAAACGUAUUACAGGCCAAAAUUACAUAUUGAGUCGUGAUUUAUUAUACAGACGUAGUAGGACACUCUGUCUCCCAACACAUAUAGAUGUCCACCUAUCAGUCAUUAAUACGUGUGGCUACUGAAGAAAAAAUCAUGUGCUAGUGUCUAAUGCCUACUCACCGCUCAAUGUACCAUUUGAUGAGAUCGAUGUUCUACACAACUUUCUGAUUGUUCUAUAUAAACACAUAAUUAAGCGAUACUAACAUUCAUCACAAACUCACUGGUCUAAAGUCUUUUCCUCAAAACUAUACAAGUCUAGUGUUUCUUCAGUUUCCUGAACUCUUCCCUGGAAGAUCUAAAGUGUCAUGGGUAUCCGUAUGCCUCGUAUUACUAGUUUCAAACAAAUCCUUAACCGCUCAUCUUUGUUAUUAAAUCCUGAUCUUACUUCAAUGAUUCCAAAGGGGUGCUUGGCAGUUUAUAUUGGGGAGAGGCAAAGAAGCCGAUUUGUGGUUCCCAUUUCGUACCUGAAUGAGCCUGCCUUUCAAGAAUAGUUAAGUCAAGCCGAGGAAGAAUUUGGAUUCAAUCAUCCGGAAGGAGGUCUUACAAUUCCUUGCUCAGAGGACACAUUCAAUGAAAUCACUUCGCGCCUGAACAAUUUAUAUACUUGUAGAUAGUAUAGCACCUCCGAUCUCAUUUGAUGAGUUUCUGAGUGUAAAUUGCAGAACAUAUAGGAUUUAUAUAUAAUUUUUUGUAGGUAAAGCUUAAUUUGAUACUCGAUUUUUUUGAACAUAUUGACCAUCACAUAUAGUCAUAGAUACUUUUAUUUCUCUAAAGCAUAAUACUAAUUUGAUAAACUUUAUGCCUAAAACAAAUCACUGACACAUAAGGCCGCCAUUUUUAGCAAUUCCAAAUGGCUGCUUAUAUUGGGAACAUCCCAAACAAAGGAAAUUUGUAUUUACUGUUUCAUACCUUAAUUUUGCAAUUGUCUUGAUAAAUCAGCCUUGACAGAAGGGUGAUUUUUGCUAACUCUUAAUUAAAAUUUAUAUUUAUAAGCAGUUCUGACUAAUUUAUAAAUAUAUCUCAGGCAUAGUUUAACCUAUUUAAGUCAUUUAUUAUCACGAAUACUCCUUCUGCUCCUCAGCCUACAGUGGUUAUUAGUUAGCACUUUGUGUAUCAAUGUGUGCAAUGUUGUAGCUAACGCGUUAACUAUCGGGUCUGGGUAGUGCUUUCGCAAGAAUGAAACCUUUUGUUGUUGACCUACCCAAUCGAAAUCAUCAUAAGACUCGUGAUGAUCAACCUUCCGAAUAAGUUCCCAUCGUAUUCAGGCUUUUCAACAAAUUAAGUUAAAAUUUUGUAAUUUUCCUGCAAAGCCUUCUAAGAUCUAAUACAAAUUAAAAUAAAUACUGUACAUAAAAUUUUAUAAGAACUUGACAGAAACUACCCUAACAAUUUCACAUUCUGCCUCUCAAAUCAGAAAAUUUAAAUUUUAAGGUGUUUUUUGUUAACAGAUUAAGAUUUAUAUAAGUCUAAACAAAUCAAUGUGUGUUUUAAAAAAUAAAAAGACUUUUGUGCAUUCCCUCUAGCCGCCUCCUCCAUCUUUUCAUUCCCGACGGGGCUUCCAUCGGUUUUCCGGUGGAAAGCCCCAAAUCUUUCCGUUUGAUUGCUAGUUCUUUGAUUGUUUUUGCUUUUCAUUGAUUUUCUUAAUAAAUCUCCUUCUUUAAGGGGGAAAAUUUCUUAGAUCUAUAUCACCGAACUUUUGAUUUUCGUUCUUAUUCGCUUCCAGAAGGCUUUUUGGAUUUGUGGGUGGAUCGAUUAUCUCUACGUGUCGUGGUGCAGAUCUAAUUGCUUUAGUUUUUAGUUGGAUUUUCUCUAGUUUGUUUGGAUUAUAGUUUGAUUUCUCUCCCUGGUGAGAGUGUGUGAUUUUUCUCUCCUCUUUUGUGAGAGUUGGUUUGGAUUCAUCGAUAAAAGCCUUCGAGAAGUGCAUUUGUGGUUGAUAGCUCAAACGGAGUUUUUGAAAAAGAUAAUGAACACAGAGCAAGGAUCUAUACAUGUACCAUCGUCAAUUUCAACAUCGCUUAUUUGUCUCAUCUUGACUAUGAAGACAGGCAUGUUAAUAUUUUCUAUGUUUGUUCGACUCGAUCAUUCUUGUAGAUGCCGUAUGGCUAUUAUUUAAUGAAUUAUUUCCUUUUCUUCAAAAAAAAAAAAAAGAUUUAUAUAAGUCUCAGUCUUAUAUAAAAUGUCUGGACUAGUUCAAAAAAUUUGUAAAGUAUCUAAGAACAUAUCACUAUGUAUGUAUCUGUACACAUAUAUAUAAACUCUCAUAAUCUGUUCAAGAGAUCAAUGAAGGUGUCUUCUUUGCAUGGUAUUGUGAGGCCGCCUUCUGGAUGACUAAACCCAAAUUCUUCCUCAGCUUGACUUAACAGGUCUUGAAACGUAGGCUCAUCUAAGUAUGAGAUCGGAACCACAAAUCUUCUUCUCUGGUUCUCCCCAACAUAAACUGCCAUGCAUCCCUUAGGGACAUUUGUACUACGAUCAAGAUAUGUGGAGGAGGAUUGGCGGUUUAGAAUAUGCUUGAGACUAGUGAUACGAGGAACACGGAUACCCAUGAUGCUAACAAAAAAUUUGUAGUAUUCAGGAUAAACUCUGCUGAUAUUGAAAUACAAGGACUUUUGCAGAUGGAAGGCUUAGACACUUGAAUACAAUUGAUUAUGUGAUGAAUUUGGUUGAGUUUGUGAUAGCGGUUUUAUAGAGCUCGGAAGUAUUGAACAGUUGAUUGAAAUGCAGAUUGAGUGGCACAGAUGCAUUAGGCAUUAGCACAUGCUAUUCUCUUUCAAUGGCCACAUAUGUUUAAGACUAAUGGUAAGACUUAAAUGUCUGUUAAGAGACAUCAUGUCCUACUACUUUUGCUCAACUAAUCUGAACCUGAUAUCUUCUUAUUCAACCAUAUGUUUGAUGCUUAUAGCAUAGCUAAGAGAGUAUAUAAGCCUAAAAUACACUUAUAUGAACGCCAUACAAAUAAUUUGGGUGGAAACUCUUGAGUUUUAGGUGGGACAGACAAGUUAGGUGCCCAUGUGAUGGUGUUCUCUUCCCCUGUGUUAGCUGUUUAUUUUGUUGAUUUGAUGAAUCAUUUAGUAGAAAACAGUGGCUGCUGGGGCUUAAUCAAGCAGACGCAGUAAGGUUGAUGUCUCGCAACACACAGAAAUCAAAUAUUCUUGGUCUUAUAUACUUGUGCUAGUGUCUACUGCUUCUUCACCACUCGGAUAAUAUUUCUAAUAAAUUGUUUAAGUAGUUCUAUGUUCUAUAUAUACUUAUAUUUAAGCAUUAGUAGAAUUCAUCACAAACUCAAUUGCUUCAAGCUUUAAACUUACAUUUCCUUGUGUUUCUGUUGUUUUCCUCAACUCUUCAGUAAAAGAUCCUUGAUAAGUAGGGGCAUGCUGUCUUGCAACAGACAGAGAAGUCAUUCAAUCAGUCAUAAAUAUAUGUAGCUAUUGAAAGAGAAAAUCAUGUGCUAGUGUCUAAUGCCUCUUCACCACUCAAGUUACAUUUUAAAGAACUGUUCAAUUUUCUAUAUAAAUACAUAGCUGGGCAUUAGUAAAAUUCAUCUCAAACUCAACUGUCUAAAGUCUUCACUAUACAAUUCCUUUUCUUUCUCCAUAUUCUCUAAUUGAUCUAAUAGUAUUAUGGGUAUUCGUAUGCCUCGUGUUACCAAUCUCAAGAAUAUCCUAAACCCGUCUUCUUUCUUGAUAAGUCCUGAUUAUACUUCAACAGUUCCGAAGGGUUGCUUGGCAGUAUAUAUUGGGGAGAAGCAAAGAAGACGAUUUGUGGUCCCCGUUUCAUACCUGAAUAAUCCUGCCUUCCAGGACUUGUUAAAUCAAGCUGAGGAAGAAUUUGGGUUCAGCCAACCAGAAGGCGGCCUCACUAUUCCCUGCUCAGUGGAAACAUUCAUCCACCUUACUUCGAGCCUAGAUAGAAUAUAGUCAGAAAACAUUUAUGUACAGGUAGAUAGUACAGCAUUAAAAUGUAAUUAGUAGAAAGGAGAAUUUUAUAGAUUUUGUUGGCAACGGAUAAUUUGAAACUCACCAUUUUGUUGAAUUUAACAUUACCAAAAUUUAUUGAUCAUAGUUUCUACUUAUAAAUUUAGAUAUAAAAAGAGACCAUGCAACUAUUAAACUGAUGGAGAGAAAUUAUUACACAGCACACGGAUUUCCUUUAUGAAUCUUAAGUAUCCAAGAAGAUAUAAAAAGGCCAGAAUCUGAAAAACUAACUCCAUCUGACUUCGCAUAGAAAAGAAGAUGUUACAUGUGGAAACUCCCAUAUCUUC
rnacentral:lncRNA from 1 species